UGGUGGAAGUCCCAUGUCCCACAUUACUUUAGUAACUAUAGUAGUUACUAAAGCAAUGUGGGACUUCCCAGUGGUGUCAUGGCAAAAUUAGCAGUGCCGGAACGCACUGCUAAUUUUUGUUUACAAAACCUAAAUUCUCUAUUUAUUUUUUUUCUUUUCUUAACCAGUGUGGGAACGGCGUUCCCACGCGUUCCCACACCAUGACACCACUGGGACUUCCACGUAAACACAGUAAAAAUGGUCUACUAUCGGACUACUUCCAACGUUGCCAAUUUUCUCAUUUCACGGCUUCUUAGCUUUAGGUGGCUGCGCAAGCAUAGACAUAUAAUCGACAUAGGCCGUUCCAAGAUGCUGUCAAAAUUAAAACAAUAUGGCUACUGGAAGGCAAACAUUGAAUAUUAUUCUAUCAGGUUCUUAUGGUUUUAGAUCAUUUUAGUUGUUGUACAAAGAUUAAUUUAACAUUUUCUCUGGAAGUAUUAAUUUAGAAAGAUAAUAUGCCUCAUUGGUGUUGUGUUUUGAAGUGUGAAAUGCAAAGUAAUCGUGAUAAAGUUAGCUUUUACCACUUACCAUCAGUGCUACAUUCUAAGCACAAAACUGAACCAAUUUAACUAAAUAAGUUAUAGUUAUCAUCUGAGAGACAACAACAAUGGUAAAAUGCAAUAAAAUAUAAAGAUUUUACUAGCAAAAUGGAAAUUCCCCUGUAAUCAUCUUACUAUCUGGUAAGUUACAACAUUUGAACAUUAACGAUUUUUGAAGAUGUUAACAGUCUAAUCUUGUAGGAAAACCAGCCGACUUAACUGAUAAUAACAAUCCAGAUUGGGUUCCUUCAAUAAAUAUGGGGUAUAUAAACACAGUGAAAUGAGUUCCCCAAAAUCUAAAAUGGGAAUUAAGGUACCAAAGGAGAAUUAAAAGAAAAGGGUACCUACAAGAAAAAAUUGCUUUUUUUAUUCCUCUUGAAAUGAUUUAUAAGACACUGGACUGUCUUAUAUUCUACAAAUACUAGAAUCAGCUGAGAGAAGUGGUCUACAAAAACCCAGGAAGGAAACGGAAUAUGUGGCUACGAAAGGCAAAAGAAAGGUUUACAAAGCAAAUGUGACACAUUUUUUUGAAAUAUUUAGGAAUAUCAGUAAAUUGCAUUAAAAAAAUGUAUGAAAAGAUUUUGUUCAAUAAAAAUGUUUAUAUUUUUCAA